UUUGAGUAUGUCGUAGUAACAUUGUUUGUGUUUCCUUAUCAUAUUCAGACUAAUAACAGUCCAAUAAUUCAUUGCGCCCCAAAAUGCAUUCAGAACGUUGCACAUCUAGGCCAGGAGCCAGAGACUAAAGAAACAUCUGAACCUUACAAAAGGUUACGCUUUUCACAUGCUAGUCUCCAGCCACUCUGUCAAGACAUCCUUGUAAAUCUGAAUGGGAAUUUAAGAGGUAGCAACACUCACCGAUGGACAAUAAAGUAGCUAACUGACAAUCCGUCAGUUACUGCACACCACAGCAAGACUAUAAGGUUCAAGUUUGUGAGAGUGGUGAAGAGAAAGGAAACCACAGAAGGCUCCCAACCCUAAGGCUCUCCAGAGGUUAGUGAGGUCUGAACAACGCAUCACCGGGGGCAAAUUACCUGCCCUCCAGGACACCUACACCACCCGAAGUCACAGGAAGGCCAACAAGAUCAUCAAGGACAACAACCACCCGAGCCACUGCCUGUUCACCCCUCUAUCAUCCAGAAGGCGAGGUUAGUACAGGUGCAUCAAAGCGGGGACCGAGAGACUGAAAAACAGCUUCUAUCUCAAGGCCAUCAGACUGCUAAACAGCCACCACUAACAUUGAGUGGAUGCUAUCAACAUACUGACUCGUCUCUAGCCACUUUAAUAAUGAAAAGUUGAUGUAAUAAAUGUAUCACUAGCCACUUUAAACAAUACCACUUUAUAUAAUGUUUACAUAUCACACAUUAAUCAUCUCACAUGUAUAUACUGUACUCUAAACCAUUUACUUCAUCUUGCCUAUGCCAUUCGGCCAUUGCUCAUCCAUAUAUUUAUAUGUACAUAUUCUUAUUCAUUCCUUUACACUUGUGUGUAUAAGGUAGUUGUUGUGAAAUUGUUAGGUUAGAUUACUUGUUAGAUAUUAUUGCAUGGUCGGAACUAGAAGCACAAGCAUUUCGCUACUCUCACAUUAACAUCUGCUAACCAUGUGUAUGUGACAAAUAAGAUUUGAUUUGAUUUGAUUUGUUCAAUGAACCAUAAACAAUUCAUGAACAUGCACCUGUGGAACGGUCAUUAAGACACUAACAGCUUAUGGACGGUAGGCAAUUAAGGUCACAGUUAUGAAAACUUAGGACACUAAAGAGGCCUUUCUACUGACUUUGAAAAACAGCAAAAGAAAGAUGCCCAGGGUCCCUGCUCAUCUGCGUGAACAUGCCUUAGGCAUGCUGCAAGGAGGCAUGAGGACUGCAGAUGUGGCCAGGGCAAUAAAUUGCUAUGUCCGUACUGUGAGACGCCUAAGACAGCGCUACAGGGAGACAGGGCUGAUCGUCCUCGCAAUGACAGACCACAUGUCACAACACCUGCACAGGAUCGGUACAUCUGAACAUCACACCUGCGGGACAGGUACAGGAUGGCAACAACAACUGCCCGAGUUACACCAGGAACGUACAAUCCCUCCAUCAGUGCUCAGACUGUCCGCAAUAGGCUGAGAGAGGCUGGACUGAGGGCUUGUAGGCCUGUUGUAAGGCAGGUCCUCACCAGACAUCACCAGCAACAACGUCACCUAUGGGCUCCUCUGAACAACAGAGUCCUGACGAGAGAACACAUUUUCUAUGCCAGGUGAAAUUGCGCAUUAUUAGCUCAUUGUUAUGGAUGUAUGCAAAUAAAGGUCACUAGAACACAGCUUAAACAAAUGCAAAUUCAGCUACUUUGUUGUUAUUCUGGCUGCACUGUUUGAUGUGACUGAAAGUUAGCCGUAGUUGGCUAGCUGGCAGGCAAGGGAUAAGAACGUUGCCAGCCAGUGUGGCAAUAGAACAUUUUGAAUGAACGACUGGGUCACGUCCAUAGACACAGAACAAAGCCGUACUGAUAGAACGAUCGAUCAGCCGGCUUGGGUAGGAACCCUAGAUUUGUCACGACUUCCGCCGAAGUCGGCUCCUCUGCUUGUUCGUUCGGCGAUCGACGUCACCGGCUUUCUAGCCAUCGCCACUCCAUUAUUCAUAUGUCCAUUUUGUCUUGUCUUGUUUCGUUUAGCGCUUUACUUUAUUGUUCCGUGUUUUUGAGCGCGUUUGUUUUGUUGUGCUCCCGGUUUGGAACUAUAAUAAAGUGCGAUUUAUUUAAUCAUACUCUGCUCUCCUGCACCUGACUUCGUCUUCAUACACAGCCUGACAAGAUUUGUGUCGGGACUAUAUCUCGUUGAAGGAUGAGUUAGUAUGAGAAUUUUUUUAAUGAAAAUACAAUAUGUCAAUCAUUAUUUAAAUAUUUUGGUAACCCAUUGUAAAAAUAAAAGUGAUGAUCCCCUUGAAGCCGGUGUUUGGAGGAUGUACUCUUCUUCGUCUCAGGCCUGACAACACCCUGCCAAGAUAUCCUCCAAACACCGGCUUCUCUGGCAUUAUCACUUAAAUAGACACAUAAGUGCAUCUUUAUGACCACACAAAAUUAGGGUCAUACCGUUUAUCAUUUUAAUUCAGUUUCAUAUUGUGGGAUAAUACCAAAACAGUCAUUUAGCUAGAGAGCUUGUCAGGAAAAUGUUAUAUUUUUGAUUAAUGAACUACUUUCAACUGCCAUUCCUGCUAAAACUUUAAAGCACAGCUGUGUGAGUACCCUGGGUUGCGUGUUGAUGUUGUGGCGGUCAGAGUACUGAUGUCCUAAGUGUACAGGCAGUGUUAAGGCAGGUGGGCCCUUAAGCAUGCUGUGACCCCCAGGCCUACUCAGGACAACAAUUAUGAAGGUCAAAAGUCAGUUUAAUGCCGGGGGCUAAUCGGCCUUAGAUAUGCAUAUCCCCUUGAACCACGGCAAUCAGUGCUGAUCAGCCAGAUGUUACGGUAUUGGGACAACUGCAAGUGUGUGAGAAAGUAAUGAGAAUGUACUGGAAUAUACGAUAAAUAAAUAUUUUCCAUGAAGCCAAUUUGAAUUACAGAAAAUUCAUAGGCUUUUUUUCAGUUAAUUACCCCAAUAAAAUGUUCUAACAUUAUUUUAGUUUACUUUGAUUUAUCUAUAAAGUAUAGGAAGUGGCAUUCCAUCCUGGCAUCGUGUAUAAAAUGUCAAAUGUGUUGCACUAACCAUCUACAUGUAAAUGAUUACAUAACUCUGUCUUAAUUCACACUUACCUCAGAGCUUUUGUUACUAACAUGCUCUAAUUCACAUUUAUGUGGCACUUAAAAUGAUCUAGCCAUCACAGUCCCCAUAUAAUAUUUAAGUGUUACCUCAGAGUACACCUCAGAAAAGUCACAGCUAGUCCACAUCACAUCCACACACGUCUAGCUGUAACACACAACGUGAUCUCUCUCUCAGCCUCUAAUCACUGCCAGAUAAUGUGUAUCCUGUCCCCUCUGACCUCUCACCUCUCCCUCUCUCUCUCACACUGGCUGUGGCGAUUCUGGGAAGGAUAACACCCUGGAGGUUACUACCCCACUACCCCAGCACGCUGGAGGAUCCAACCCCAGGAAGAGGUCACAUGUUGGGGCAGGGGAGGCAGGGGCUGGAGGGGAUUCCCUGUGGUCCAUUAAUCACAGAGCAGGAUAAACACAGCUGGAGCAGGAAAGGGUGGUAGAUCGUAGAUAGAGAUUCUGUAGGAGACAAGAGGCAUGCCGAAAUCAUACUAGUACCAUAGCACGCCCUCCAUUUCACAACGUGACAUCUCUGUCUCUCUGACAGGUGAAUUAACAUGGAGGUGAAUGAUUAUCAUAAUAUAGCUAAAUGUAACAUUGUUAUUUUGGUGGUCUGGCCUGUAUUCAAAUGUGUUGGUAAUUUCUUGUCUGUUUAGUUUAGGAUUGGAUCAUUCCUGGAACUUUCAAUAAAUUCCCUGGUUUUCCAGUAAUCCUG